ACAAACCAGGCAACUUUGGAUGUCAAGUUCUCCUCCAUCAGCUUUUCUUGAAUUAAGAAAUUCACGCUGAACUAGUGACUUGUUCGCCAAGGUUAAAGCAAUACAUUUAUGUAGGGAGAAAUUUUGAACAAUAGUGGAUGAUUAUCUUCUAAUCUGUCGAAGAAUUAAUUCGCGCGCCGAACCCUACGGUAUCAGGCUAAUUUUAUUAAUCAUCUGCAAAAGAAAGCCAUAAUACCUUCAUCUGGUUAACAUUAAUAUUUCCUAUCAAUUAUGUAAUGCAUUGUUUAAGUGCUACAUGCAUGCAGGAAAAAGGAACGCGCUACGUCACGUUCAUGCAAAAGAAAGUCGAGAAACAAGUGCCAUCAGAUUUCGGAAAUACAUUUGGUUCUUAAAACUAUUUCAGUGUCCACGGCGCGUCAGUAGUCCAACGGUCAGGAUAAUUGCCUUCCAAGCAAUAGAUCCGGGUUCGACUCCCGGCUGACGCAGCUCAUGUCACGAUGUCUUGCUUCAUGCACACGAAAGUGUUUUUUCGAAGACGAGCUAAGACUGCUCCAUGCACUGGAAAAUAUUAGAAAAUUUGUUUUUCAAUUAUAUCAUUACUCCAUGCACAUGAAAAUAUUUUUUGAAGACGAGCUAAGACUAGUAAUGAAUUGCAUAGAAUAUCUUCUUCUUGGUCUUAUACUUCUACCGGCAAGAAAGCAUGAUACAGCAGCCGUGACGAGCUAAGGCAAGUAACGAAUUGCAGGAUAUCUUCUUCUUCUUCUUCUUCGUCUUCUACUUCUCCCGGCAAGAAAGCAUGAUACAGCAGCCGACAUCAGGGACAUGGCCACCCAACUAAAGUCAUCAAAAAUAGCUGCAAAACGCAUUUCUUGAAGUUGCCAUAUAGUUGAAAUGCAGAAACUCACCCCAUCAAGAAUCGCCGUCAAAUAACCCAUGAAUUUUAUUGAUUUACUGCCCACCCACAGUAAACUUGUGGCUAUCUAACAUUAAUUAAUUGGACUGCAUUAGGCUCACAGUAGAAUCAAUGGAUACAAGUAGUAGAAUCAGUGGAUACAAGUACUUGGACGAGGAAAUAGCGC
rnacentral:lncRNA from 1 species